AUUAUACUGUAUACCUAUAAGUAUAAAUUGUCCUUCUCUUAAUUUUGUAUACUUUGUGGAAUUUAUGAUCACUGUUCGUUAUCUUCUCUUUAUAUUACCAGUAUAUUCUAUGUACCUGACUCACCAGGAAUGCAUUGUUAGGUCACCUUAGUCACUCAGGUGAUCGUUUGCUAUUGAUCUGCCCGUUCGUUAUUGUCAUCUGUCAAUUGUAUAUAUGGAUUCGUUUAACACCCCCCUCAACAAAAUUUCACUCAUGGAGACAUCAUCAAUUCCGGCGAAGGGGCUGCAAAAUUUAGGUCUAUGCUCGGCGCUUAUGGCCUUUGAGCAGGGAGGGAUUUUUAUCUUGCCACAAAACAUUCUUGGGAAAAGGGGAUUCAUGUUUGUUCAAAUGAAGCAGCGUGUCAACUUGAAAGGGGAAAUUAUACAGUGAAACUUCUCCAAAUCGGCCCCUCAGAAAACCAUUCCUCUCUGAAUAUCGCCCAAUUCUUAAAGUCUCUGUAGGAAUCUUAACAUAUCCUUUCAAAGAAAUUCAUAUAGUCCAAAAUGUGACUUAUCGAGAUUUCCGCCAUUUUUGACAAGGGACUUCUGGGAUGAUCCUCAGUUAAAGGUUCAGAUUUAGCUCGGAUUAUUCUGUGCUCUUUAGUCAUUGGAGCUUGGAGUAUGAGCCAGAGCACUGCGCUCGCUAUUAGUAUGCAAGUAGCUGCAUUUAAUUCAAAUUGAAGUUGAACACAAGGACCCCAGGGGUAGGGUGGGGGCAGAAUAUGAAAUCAGAGUUUUAUAUGGUAAUAUGCAGAAAAUUUAUUAAAACAAAGACUUUUCAAGAGUAGCAGGGCCACACUAAAUCAUAUCCAAAUGCAAAUGUCCCCAAGUUGUGUGAAAACAAGGUUUUUUUUAUGACCCUGACUAAGGAUGGGGUGGAAUUGUUUUUGUCCUGUCUGUCUGAAAUUUUAACCUUCCUCAUAACUUUUAAAUAAUGAGCAAUGGGGCUCUCAUAUUUGCAUUCUUUUUUAUAGCCAUAAAGUCUUUCACCUCGUGACCUUGACAUUAGAGUUUCAUCUACUGACCGGUUUAGCUUUCUGGACCUUAAAAGAUGUUGACACCCUGCUGAUGGAGCAGAUCCUAUUUCUUAGAAGCAGAAAGCAGUUCUCUUACCAUCAGAUCUGAUCCAUUUUUGGAGAUAGCCUUUUGUAUGGAGCUGGGUAACGGUUACUGGAGACAUGCUGUUGAUUGAUGAGGAUAAUUUUCCCGAGACUCUGACAUAUUGCAGGACCUGGAUAGCUCUACUGGUGUUCAAAAUGCCAGGACUGUGGAGUGUUGUGAUGUUAUUGAUGGUCAACAGAAGACUGUGACCUUGAAUCUGAAGAUCUGUGAUGAAGACUGGACGUUUGGGGUCACUCUCUGUUACAGUACUACAAAUCUAACAGUGUCACACUCAGCCACAAAGAGGUUGUCUCUGAUGUCCACACAUAAACAGAAUGGAGUGUAUAAAUCACAGUGAAUGUAACGGAGGAACUGUCCGUCCUGAUCUAGGAUGUGGAUACGGUGAUUGUUAGGGUCUGCUGUCAGGAUGUGACUCUGGCUGUCUGUAGUGAUGCCGUAUGGAGUAAAUGAUUGCUUGGUAUUAGAGAGAUGACCAGUGUAUCUAAAUCGGAGUUUUCCUGACUGAUUGACCACCACUACUGCACUAUAGUCAGCCACACAGAUAUCCAGGUUCUUGUUCUCACUGAGGUAUUUAGUGUAAUCACCAGAUGAGUAGAGAGGACGACCCUGAUCAUCAAACUGAAUGCUUUGUUUCUCUGUGGAGCCGGAGUAACGCACGACUUUGGAUUGUUUGUAAUCAUCACUGAUCAUGGUAACCAGGAGAUCACCAGAGGCGGUACUGCAGACAUAGAGAGGGUACCACCCCUGUAGUGUGAUCACGAUUGAGUUGAGUGGAACAAUGAACCUCCGGAUAUCUAUGUACAUUUACACGUGUAGGAUUAAACUUCUGUUGUACUCGCGUAUGUGAGUUUAUCCUGUA